AACGCAGGUGGUUUGGUAAGUCAGGGGUGAAAGUCCACAGCUUAACUGUGGCACUGCCUUUGAUACUACCUUUCUUGAGUGCAUGAGGGGGAAGCGGAAUUCCGAGUGUAGAGGUGAAAUUCGUAGAUAUUCGGAGGAACACCGGUGGCGAAGGCGGCUUCCUGGCAUGUAACUGACACUCAUGUUCGAAAGCGUGGGGAGCAAACAGGAUUAGAUACCCUGGUAGUCCACGCCCUAAACGAUGGGCACUAGGUGUGGGAGGUAUCGACCCCUUCCGUGCCGCAGCUAACGCAUUAAGUGCCCCGCCCGGGGAGUACGGCCGCAAGGUUGAA
rnacentral:rRNA from 1 species